GGAGCAGGGGGCGGGGCUCAUCUUGAGACCCCCACAUUCUCUUUGGCCACUUUACCUUGUGAUCAAGGUGAGUGAUAGCAAGUGGCCAGCUGGACACCAGGAAGCAGAGGAGAGCUAACCUUCAGGGACUAUGUCUGCUUAAGUUCCAGGGAUGUUUUGACCAAGAGACAGAACGAUUGGAAAAACAUCCAAACACAAGGCACCCUCCAUGUACGGAGAUGGGCUGCUGCCAGCGCUGUGAUCCCAGAAAAAGGCGAUAAGGAAUCCCGACUGUCCAGACUCAGGGACACUUUUGGCCAGGGAGAAAAACAAGCUGUGGAGCUCUGCUGACUGGAAAGCAGGGGGGUUGGGAGGGACAAACCACACCGUUGUCCACUGACCUCCAGGCACUCUGAAGGCUGAUGAAAAGGGUAGCUUCGGAUGCUGGAAGCACCGAGAGGUACCUCUUUGAUCUGCCUGCUUUAAAAAUUCUAUCCUUACGGUAGCCUCACUUUUGGCCUUUUCAUUUCUACAGGAUUUCCUAAUCCCCUUUAAAUAAAGAUCAAAAAGGAGCCA
rnacentral:lncRNA from 1 species